ensembl:piRNA 21ur-2412 ncRNA
UGCACCUUCCGGAAAUCAAGA